CCUACGGGCGGCAGCAGUGGGGAAUAUUGCACAAUGGGGGAAACCCUGAUGCAGCGACGCCGCGUGAGUGAAGAAGUAUUUCGGUAUGUAAAGCUCUAUCAGCAGGGAAGAAAAUGACGGUACCUGAUUAAGAAGCCCCGGCUAACUACGUGCCAGCAGCCGCGGGAAUACGUAGGGGGCAAGCGUUAUCCGGAUUUACUGGGUGUAAAGGGAGCGUAGACGGCAGGACAAGUCAGGAGUGAAAUGCCGGGGCUUAACCCCGGAACUGCUUUGGAAACUGGGCAGCUAGAGUGCAGGAGAGGGAAGUGGAAUUCGUGGUGUAGCGGUGAAAUGCGUAGAUAUUAGGAGGAACACCAGUGGCGAAGGCGGCUUACUGGACUGUAACUGACGUUGAGGCUCGAAAGCGUGGGGAGCAAACAGGAGUAGAUACCCUUGUAGUC
rnacentral:rRNA from 1 species